CCUACGGGGGACAGCAGUGAGGAAUAUUGGUCAAUGGCCGAGAGCCUGAACCAGCCAAGUCGCGUGAAGGAUGACGGCCCUACGGGUUGUAAACUUCUUUUGUCAGGGAGCAAUUGAGUCCACGUGUGGGCUAAGCGAGAGUACCUGAAGUAAACGCAUCGGAUAACUCCGUGCCCGCAGCCGCGGUAAUACGGAGGAUGCGAGCGUUAUCCGGAUUUAGUGGGUUUAAAGGGUGCAGAGUCGGAAUAUCAAGUCAGCGGUAAAAAUUCGGGGCACACCGCCGUCGUGCCGUUGAAACUGAUGUUCUUGAGUGGGCGAGAAGUAGGCGGAAUGUGUGGUGUAGCGGUGAAAUGCAUAGAUAUCACGCAGAACUCCGAUUGCGAAGGCAGCUUAC
rnacentral:rRNA from 1 species